rnacentral:lncRNA from 1 species
CGCGAGCGGCGGCAAGAAAGUCGCUGAGAUCCAGAACAAAAGCCUCGAAGAGCACCGCCUCAGGGACUCUGGAUCGGCGGCGGCGUUUUCGGCGCUGCUAGGGCGGUGACGACGAGAUCAGGCGGCGGCGCUUCGCCGGAGGAGAGAAAGAAGGAAGGAGGGAGGGAGGGAGCGUAGAGAGAGAACACAGUAGGUAGAAAAGAGGUGAGGAGCUCCGGGCACAUAGGGAAGAUGCGGCGGAGGUCGGCGACGGUGAUGCGUGGAGAAAGAGAGAGAAGAGAAUGAGAGAGGAGAAAGAUGCGUG